rnacentral:rRNA from 1 species
AAGACCUUGCGCUUUUGGAGCGGCCGAUGCCUGAUUAGCUUGUUGGUAAGGUAAAAGCUUACCAAGGCUUCGAUCAGUAGCUGGUCUGAGAGGACGGCCAGCCACACUGGGACUGAGACACGGCCCAGACUCCUACGGGAGGCAGCAGUGGGGAAUUUUGGACAAUGGGGGCAACCCUGAUCCAGCCAUGCCGCGUGAGUGAAGAAGGCCUUCGGGUUGUAAAGCUCUUUCAGCCGGGAAGAAAAGGCUACGACGAAUAAUCGUAGCUCAUGACGGUACCGGAAGAAGAAGCACCGGCUAACUACGUGCCAGCAGCCGCGGUAAUACGUAGGGUGCGAGCGUUAAUCGGAAUUACUGGGCGUAAAGCGUGCGCAGGUGGUUUUGUAAGUCAGAUGUGAAAUCCCCGGGCUUAACCUGGGAACU